AGGGAAAAAUUGACGAAGCUGACGGAGCACGCCGCGUGAGUGAUGAAGGUUUUCGGAUCGUAAAACUCUGUUGUUAGGGAAGACAAGUACCGUUCGAAUAGGGCGGUACCUUGACGGUACCUAACCAGAAAGCCACGGCUAACUACGUGCCAGCAGCCGCGGUAAUAAA
rnacentral:rRNA from 1 species